CUUCUUCUUGAAUCUUCCUUCUUUUCCUCUGUAUUUUUGUUUGCUUUUGUUUUCCUUCACAACACACGACCGAGAUCGAUAGAGACCUGAGAAAGUUGCUGCUGCUACCGUUGCUGUCAAAGAAGUGAAGAACUAAAGAGAGAGCAAAAGUUCUGGAUUAAGUUUUGGUGAUUUCUGAAGCAGAUGGAGCAAAGGAAGUAGGUUAGUUAUAGAUGAUUGGGAGCAAGACCUGCAGAAAGUUAGAAAUUGGACCAUGCUUGGUUAUGAACUUUUUUUAAUAUGUUUAUGAACUUUUAGGUUUGUACUUUUUUAAUAUGUUUAUGAACUUUUGGGUUUUUAAUAUGUAAUUAUGUAUGGAUGUAAAAUUUCCUUGAGGGCAUGAUAGUUAAUAUGUAUGAUUAGUAAUUUUGAUUCAUACAAUUACUUUCAAUGUCUUGGAAUGAAAUUUUAAGAAAUA